GGGGAACUCUUCCCUCCUCGCCACCCCCCAUCCCUGAAGCCAGCCACCACCACCACCACCACCAUCACACCCCAUCCGGCAGGCGGUCUUUUAGGCAAUUAAUUUCCCCUUAACUACCUAGUUAUUCCCCCUCCCAGUCCCUGUAGCAGCUACAUCAUGUAUUUUUUUUUUUUUAAAGUGAAGGAGGGGAACUUUCCUCUUGCCCCCUUCUCUGCAGCAAUUGCCACAGCUGCGGCUUUGAACGAAAAUGAAGGAGGCAGGAGGGGGACUUUCCUCUCCCCCCCCCCGUACUUUUUUUAAAGGGUGGCAAAAGCGUUUUUGCCUAUAGGUGGCAAAAAGGUUAAUCCACCCCUGUACAUAUGGGUUUAUAGACAUUCUAUUAUUGUUAAUUUGGUGACAAUAGGGAGGGCCAUGGGAUUGCAAGCCAGGAUUCCAAAUAAAUACCUGACUCCUCUAGUUAAUUCACUGUACGACUUGCCCUUGAUACUUAGGGGAGUCUAUGCUCCUUGAUUAUGUUUAAGUUACAUUACUGGGUCAUCAGUUCAUGGUUCCAUGAUUUUGCACGAGUGUCAGCAGCAGGCUCUUGCCUGCCACAUGAUCUGUUGAAGAGCACACCACAAAGUCCUGGCUGUAUCUUCCCUAGCAAGCAGGUCAUCAUGACAAGAAAGGAAGUUGAAGUCAGCACCAUGCCAGAACUUCCCCUUUAAGUUAAAGCUGUGAGUCUUUGAAAAGGAGGCGACCUAGCCCCACCCCAGUCAUCUCUAAUCUCAGCAUGCUAUAGUAGUGACAGGUAGAUCUUAAGGAACAAAGAGUAGAUCCUCAUAUUAAACAAUAGCUAUCAUGGCAUUAGCUAUCAUGGUUCAACUUGAUUCAAGAAAUGGGCACAAAUUCAGCAAACUGUUCAAUGAUUUAGAACUUAAAGGUCUAUGUGGUUCAUAGCUUCAGUAGUGAGCUCACUAUGAAAGCAUACUGACCACAUUUCUGACAUACAUGCUAUCUUCUCAGAUUAGUCUCAGGUGGAAGCUGUUGUUCUGGUCUGAAGUAGUUAGAUUUGCACAGUCCUCGUAGGCCAGUCUUUAUGCCAAUCACAAAGCAACCCUCUCCCUCCCUGUGCAGCUCUUGCACAGACCACUGAUUGGCUGACACUUGUGUUAGUCACAAAGCUACCUUCCCCAGUUCAGUUUUUCAAACUUAAAAAAAAGGGGGUGGGGUGGAGGAACCACCACAAGUGGAACCUCAUUGCCCCUGAAAUAUUUAUGCUGAAAUACACUGGGUAUUUCUAUCUGUUCGUUAAAACUUCUGAGUACAGUUUUGAGACUUUGCUUUGGGGCGGGGGGCUAGUCUUCAAAGCAAAGAUACUUCCCUUGCCUAUAGAUAUUUUUAAUGCUUUUGAUUAUAUGCUCAACUGUCAAUACUAGAGACAUACAUAUUUUAGUACUGUUCUGAAACUCCAACUGAGAUUCAAUGGCUUCUCCCUCUUCAUCCCUUCCUCUCUCUUCUUCCAACCCCACUUUUGGCUUACUUUAUAUGUUUGCAUCAUAUGUACUUCGAACAUCUCAAAUAUAAGUAAAAGAAAAGCAACAAAGAAAAUUUGAGAUGAGCAUUGAUAGACAGAAAAUGCAUCCUGACCUGUUUGCAAUCAGUGCUUGGAUGAUCCAUAUUUCGAGUAAUGAGAUCCUCAUAGUCAGUUAAUUCUCUGAGCUUACCACCCUGUAUCUGCAACUCCUUCCGUACUAUUGAACUGAUCUGGGAAUGCUGAAACCAAGAUGAAGAAAGCGGUGGUUGUUCAGAAGAUUUACUUUGGGCAAGGUGUUGGAUUAAACUAUGCAGAGUAUAUGAGUUCUCACUCCAAAAUUUAUACUUGUAUGAAGAUUCCUCUUCAUAGAAAUACACAUUCAAGAUUGAGGUCAAAGGCGAUAGCCUUGGACUUAUUAUUUUUUGAUAUUUAUCCCAGACGUAUAAAAGACUUUGCCUAAUGGCA